rnacentral:rRNA from 1 species
GCAAGUCGAACGGUAACAUGGAAGCUUGCUUUUGAUGACGAGUGGCGAACGGGUGAGUAACGCGUACAUAACCUACCUUCAAGAAUGGGAUAGCCCUGAGAAACUGGGAUUAAAACCGUAUAGUAUUACCAUGUUGAUGAUGAGGUAAUUAAAACUGAGGUGCUUGAAGAUGGGUGUGCGUUAGAUUAGCUAGUUGGUGAGGUAACUGCUCACCAAGGCUACGAUCUAUAGGGGGCGUGAGAGCGUGGAC